rnacentral:rRNA from 1 species
UGGGGAAUAUUGGACAAUGGGCGCAAGCCUGAUCCAGCCAUGCCGCGUGAGUGAUGAAGGCCCUAGGGUUGUAAAGCUCUUUCACCGGUGAAGAUAAUGACGGUAACCGGAGAAGAAGCCCCGGCUAACUUCGUGCCAGCAGCCGCGGUAAUACGAAGGGGGCUAGCGUUGUUCGGAUUUACUGGGCGUAAAGCGCACGUAGGCGGACUAUUAAGUCAGGGGUGAAAUCCCGGGGCUCAACCCGGAACUGCCUUUGAUACUGGUAGUCUUGAGUUCGAGAGAGGUGAGUGGAAUUCCGAGUGUAGAGGUGAAAUUCGUAGAUAUUCGGAGGAACACCAGUGGCGAAGGCGGCUCACUGGCUCGAUACUGACGCUGAGGUGCGAAAGCGUGGGGAGCAAACAGG